rnacentral:piRNA from 1 species
CCAAGCCAUGUAUAUCUGGGUUGAUGG